CGGUUGAUCCUGCCAGUAGUCAUAUGCUUGUCUUAAAGAUUUAGCCAUGCAUGUCUAAGUAUAAACAAUUUAUACAGUGAAACUGCGAAUGGCUCAUUAAAUCAGUUAUAGUUUAUUUGAUAGUUUCUUACUACAUGGAUAACCGUGGUAAUUCUAGAGCUAAUACAUGCAUAAAAGCCCGACUCACGAAGGGCUGUAUUUAUUAGGUAAAACCGAUGCGGGCAACCGCUUUUUGGUGAUUCAUAAUAACUUUUCGAAUCGCAUGUCCUUGUGACGGCGAUGUUUCAUUCAAAUUUCUGCCCUAUCAACUGUCGAUGGUAGGAUAGAGGCCUACCAUGGUUUUUACGGGUAACGGAGAAUUAGGGUUCGAUUCCGGAGAGGGAGCCUGAGAAACGGCUACCACUUCUAAGGAAGGCAGCAGGCGCGCAAAUUACCCAAUCCUGACUCAGGGAGGUAGUGACAAUACAUAUCAUUGCAGGGCCAUUUUGGCUUCUGUAAUUGGAAUGAGAACAAUUUAAACUCCUUAUCGAAUACAAUUGGAGGGCAAGUCUGGUGCCAGCAGCCGCGGUAAUUCCAGCUCCAAUAGCGUAUAUUAAAGUUGUUGCAGUUAAAAAGCCCGUAGUCGAACUUUGGGAGCAGCUAGCUGGUCGGCCAUUUGGCUUGUACUGGCAUAGUUAAUCCUUUUUUCUGGGGUACUAUUGUGAAAGCAAUAGGAGUCCAGAUAUUUACUUUGAAUAAAUUAGAGUGUUUAAGGCAGGCUUGUGCUUGAAUACAUUAGCAUGGAAUAAUAAAAUAAGACUUUGGUCUAUUUUGUUGGUUUUAAAGACCAGAGUAAUGAUUAAUAGGGAUAGUUGGGGGCAUUAGUAUUCAGACGUCAGAGGUGAAAUUCUUGGAUUGUCUGAAGACUAACUAGUGCGAAAGCAUUUGCCAAGGAUGUUUUUCAUUAAUCAAGGACGAAGUUAGGGAUCAAAGACCAUCAAAUCCGUUCGUAGUCUUAACCAUAAACUAUGCCCACUAGGGAUCCGUGGGUGUUGAUUAAGACCCCAUGGGCACCUUAUGAGAAAAUCAAAGUUUUUAGGUUCUGGGGGGAGUAUGGUCGCAAGGAUGAAACUUAAAGGAAUUGACGGAAGGGCACCACCAGGAGUGGAGCCUGCGGCUUAAUUUGACUCAACACGGGAAGACUCACCAGGUCCGGACAUAGUAAGGAUUGACAGAUUGAGAGCUCUUUCAUGAUUCUAUGGGUGGUGGUGCAUGGCCGUCCUUAGUUGGUGGAGUGAUUUGUCUGGUUAAUUCCGAUAACGAACGAGACCUUAACCUGCUAAAUAGUAUUGCGAAUGUUUAUUUGUAAGACUUCUUAGAGGGACUAACUACGUUUAGUGGUUGGAAGUUUGAGGCAAUAACAGGUCUGUGAUGCCCUUAGAUGUUCUGGGCCGCACGCGCGCUACACUGAUGAAGGCAGCGAGUAUAUCACCUUGACCGGAAGGUCUGGGUAGUCUUGUGAAACUUCAUCGUGCUGGGGAUAGAGCAUUGCAAUUAUUGCUCUUCAACGAGGAAUUCCUAGUAAGCGCGAGUCAUCAGCUCGCGUUGAUUACGUUCCUGCCCUUUGUACACACCGCCCGUCGGUACUACCGAUUGAAUGGCUUAGUGAGAUUUUCGGAUCAGUUUUGUUUGACCGCAAGGUUAAGCUUGACGAGAAGUUACUCAAACUUGGUCAUUUAGAGGAAGUAAAAGUCGAUCCAAGUAACC
rnacentral:rRNA from 1 species